rnacentral:rRNA from 1 species
CAGAGCAGUACGGUCAACUAAAACUUAAAGAACUUGGCGGUUUUCUAGAUCUCCUUGGAGGAGCUUGUCAUCGAAUUGAUAACCCACAAGACACCUCACCAACUCAAGACUUAUCAGCUUGUAUACCAUCGUCGUCAGCUCACAUCAAAAGAGAGUAAGCCAAAUGGAAAAUACCCACAACGUCAGAUCAAGGUGCAGCUAAUGAGCUGGGGAUAGAUGAGCUACUUUAUUCACAAAACAGAGGAAGUAACCA